GACGAACGCUGGCGGCGUGCCUAAUACAUGCAAGUCGAACGCAGUGGGGACGGGUGAGGAACACGUGGGUAAACUCCCAGCAGAGGGGGUAACACGUGGAAACAGGCGCUAAAGCGAUACGGGUGGAUGGACCCGCGGUGCAUUAGCUAGUUGUAGAGGUAACGGCUCACCAAGGCCACGAUGCAUAGCUGACCUGAGAGGGUGAUCGGCCACACUGGGACUGAGACACGGUCCAGACUCCUACGGGAGGCAGCAGUAGGGAAUCUUCGGCAAUGGACGAAAGCCUGACCGAGCAACGCCGCGUGAGUGAAGAAGGUUUUCGGAUCGUAAAGCUCUGUUGUUAGAGAAGCGGUAUCUAACCAGAAAGCCCCGGCUAACUACGUGCCAGCAGCCGCGGUAAUUC
rnacentral:rRNA from 1 species